ACACGCUGGCGUUGCAGCCACCCCGCAGCCUCCAGGGGUCAGGAGGGUCCCGAUAGAGUGGGGGUCUGUCCCCGGGCCCCGAGUGUCUUCAAGGGGCCCUGGUGGAUGUGAAGAGGCCUCUCGUGGGGGCUUUAAUUUGCAUUUUCCCAUCGAUCGUGAGCGCGGGACGGGUCCCCUCCCUCCUGGGCUCGCCGAGGGCUCGUCUCUCUUACUGACGUGGAGGAGCCCUCCAGCCGCGCCCGUGUUAACGCUCAGUUCGGGGGUGUGUGUUGUGAUCUCUUCUGCGUAUCCGCCGCUGUCCGUGUGCCUCCUUUGUGGCGUGUUUUGUCACACAGACUUUUCUAAUUUUGCUUUAGUUGCAUUGAUCGAUCUUCCCCGGCAUGACUUGUGUGUUCCGUGUGUGUUUCAGAAACCUGCCCUGCUCAGAGGCCGUCAACAGGUUUGCCUGCACGUUGAGGUCUCUUGCCCCCCCGGGACGAGUUCUGUAACGGCACGAGAACCACGGUCGGCACACGCGUGGACCCUGGGCUCUGCGGCAGAAAGGACCCCGGAUUCACCCAGCCCACAGCUCCCCAAGGGGACCAGCCCUGCCCGGGGCUCUGCCCUCCGGCCUCUGCAGACAGAUGGGACUGAGACACCCUGUGUUAGCUUUCCACAUGCUGCGGUUCCCGAGGCGACUGGACAUAGAGAAGGCCUGAGCUCGUGGACUUGAGGAGUGGGGGGCGGGGGGCGGCCCCAUGGCUGCCUGGGAGCGGGGUGGGGGGCGGCCCUGGCCUCAUUCCCCUUCAUCAGAGGCUGAGGCGCUUUUCUGACAGUCAAACCCCUUUUCCUUCAAUGUUGGGUUUCCGGGUCGUUACCAGACUCCCUCCCUCCUUCACCUCCUCCAUGAUUGUCCUUUCGGGAGGUCCCAGCCAGGUGAUCCGGGAAACAGUGACGUGGACCAGUACCCAAGCCGUCACUCUGAGCUCACAGUCGCUGAAUGUGGCUGUGAGCUGGCCAGCUGGAGCCCCAGAGGAUGUCCCCGAACCUGCCCCGGGGCUUUCCUGAAACAUCUGUCUUCCAGGUCCACGGUGCCCUGCGAGGUGGCUCCAGGGCCCAGGGCAGGAAGCAGGGCCUCAGACGUCACCCUUCACCUCUAGUCCGGCAGCAGGGCCUACGAAGCCUUGCCUGGCCUGGGCUUUCCGCCACAGACAGAGGGGACCCGGGGCGGGGCCGUGUCCAGCGCCCAGAGCUCGAAAGCUGCUGCGGCCACUCCCCUGCUGUGCAGAAAGCAAAGUCUCCCGGCUCUGGUCAAAGCAACAAGAAGGCCAAGUGGUGUUUGCUACCGAACCUUCCUGAAGGGGGUUGAGAUCACCUUUAAUUUCAGAGCAAAGGAGGUAGGAGGCAUAGGGGCUUUGCAGGGAAAGGGCCCCACAGGUCCCGCCCUUGACGGUAGGGGUGGGAAGGGUGCA